GGCGGACAGAUCAGUCCUGGCUGUGAUUGUGCUGCUCAUCUUCCCAUUCCCACUUUCCAUGGUGAACAGAUUUCAUGAGGAUGUGCAGCACCAUGCGGAGGAGCUGAAACCGGCUCCCCCAGAGCCACCUCAGCCUGGCUGGGGAGCCUGGCUCCUGGCUGCCUUGCAGCAGCUGCAGCAAUUCUGGGCAAUUGCUCAGAUGCUGUUCCUGCCUUUGGGCUGGUGGCUCAGGCGCAGAAGGGCGGCCAUGAGGCAGAGAGCAGCGGCCCAGAGAGCUGCAGAGGAGGCCAGAAGGAGGAGAAUGAAAAUCCAGCGCAGAAGGCGGCUCCUUAAGAAGAGAAACAAAGACAUGGAACAAAUGCGCAAGGCCAUGAGAGAAUUGGAAAAGCAAAUGGCCAGGCUGAUUCAAAUGAAUAGGGAAACAAACAGCAUGGUGAAGAAGCUUUGCAUUUGCUCGAGGACAGAGCCAUUUGAAGGAGGACCCAGCUAAAUGCCUCGAGAUUGAUUCAAAUUGGGCAAUAGUUUAGAAAUAUUUUAAAUAUUUUAACUAAUUUAUUUUAAAAUAUAUUUCAAUAUUUAAUAGAAUUCUUGUAGAAUAAUACUACAGUUAGAUAUCAAUAUUGUAAUAAUAAGUAUUAACUAAGUAACAACACUUAUUCUUCAUAUUAUAUAAUUCCUAUAAUUCAUCUAAAUGAGUAUGAAUUAUAUUAACUCAACACAAUUGAAAUAUGCUAUAUUUUUAUCUUAAGCAGUGAAUUUUGCAUAAUCAUCACUAUUAAGAAAGCUGUUUUAUUAAUAUUAAUAUAAAACAAUAUAUAAGAUAGUUGCUUAGAUAGGAUUGACUAUAACCACAAUUUGAUACUUUCAAUUUGUAAAAUAUAUUAUUGUGAUUUGAUAAUGACACUGACUGCCCUCCUCUCUUGGGAGAGUGUGUUCCCUCUGACAGUCUCUGUCUGCGCAAACAUCCAAUAAAGGCAAUACCUGAACAAA